rnacentral:rRNA from 1 species
CACGCGGUGAAUAUGCCCCUGCUCCUUGCACACACCGCCCGUCAAGCCACCCGAGUUGAGCCUGGGUGAUGGUGCCGUUCUUGCGGCGCUAGAACCUAGGUUCAGCAAGGAGGGCUAAGUCGUAAA